rnacentral:rRNA from 1 species
AUUGAACGCUGGCGGAAUGCUUUACACAUGCAAGUCGAACGGCAGCACGGACUUCGGUCUGGUGGCGAGUGGCGAACGGGUGAGUAAUGUAUCGGAACGUGCCCAGUCGUGGGGGAUAACGUAGUGAAAAUUACGCUAAUACCGCAUACGAUCUAUGGAUGAAAGCGGGGGAUCGCAAGACCUCGCGCGAUUGGAGCGGCCGAUAUCAGAUUAGGUAGUUGGUGGGGGAAAGGCCCACCAAGCCAACGAUCUGUAGCUGGUCUGAGAGGACGACCAGCCACACUGGAACUGGGACACGGUCCAGACUCCUACGGGAGGCAGCAGUGGGGAAUUUUGGACAAUGGGCGCAAGCCUGAUCCAGCCAUUCCGCGUGCAGGAUGAAGGCCCUCGGGUUGUAAACUGCUUUUGUACAGAACGAAAAGGUUUCUACUAAUACUAGGAGCUCAUGACGGUACUGUAAGAAUAAGCACCGGCUAACUACGUGCCAGCCGCCGCCGUAA